UUAUCUCUUAUAAAAUCAUACAGGAAACAUUAUCAAACAUAAAAUGAUGUUUGACUUUCUUUAUUCUAAAAACUAAUAAAAAUAGGUGCUAAAAAUUUUCCAAAUGAAAAUAAAUAUUGCUAAACCAAAGAGAAAUGUUAUCUAAGCCCCGUAUAAAAAAUAAAUAAAUCUUGUUCCAAUUGCAUCAAAAAACCCAUUAAGGGCCCUCCAGCACAGGGUUAAUACCAACGAGUUUCCACCUCCAGCUGCUCCUAGAGUGGCCACAGCAUGAGCCAUCUGGUGGGGGACCUAGCCGCCAACAGACACUUCCUGUACAGGGGAGGGGGGAGGGGGCCAGGCAGCCGUUAGACAGCACAACCGAACCCAACACCGGGGCCCAACGGCAGGGGCUUGGGCAGGAGCAAGGUCCGAGGGCUGCCAGGUCCACGCUGCUUUUAUGAGCUGUAACACUCACCGCGAAGAUCUGCAGCUUCACUCCUGAGCCCAGCGAGACCACGAGCCCACCGGGAGGAACAAACAACUCCAGACGCGCUGCCUUAAGAGCUGUAACACUUGCCGUGAAGGUCUGCAGCUUCACUCCUGAGCCAGCGAGACCACGAACCCACCAGAAGGAAGAAACUCCGAACACAUCUCAACAUCAGAACGGACAGACUCCAGACGCACCACCUUAAGAGCUGUAACACUCACCGCGAGGUUCCGCGGCUUCAUUCUUGAAGUCAGUAAGACCAAGAACCCACCAAUUCCGGACACAGUAGCAUUUGGGAAUAAUAAGAAUUGUAGCUGGGCAUGGUGGUACACGCCUGUAGACCCCUAGCAGCUGCCAUCAUCCUCACCAUCCGCAUAUUAUUGAUAUAUUAACUCUUUGAUGGCAACCAUAGCUUAUCCCCCUUAUCUCCCUAUGCCCUACAGCAGGGCAGUGGAAUGGUUAAGAGGCUUUGAAGUCUAAGAGUGCUGGCUUAAAACCCUAAUUUGUCAUUUUGGAUGUGUGGCUUUGGACACUUGGGGCAGGUCACCUAUGUUCUUCAAGCCCUGUAUCCUUAUCUGUCAGAUGAUGAUUUUUUUUUUUUUAGACGAAGUCUCACUCUCUUGCCCGGGCUGGAGUGCAGUGGCAUGAUCUCGGCUUACUGCAAGCUCCACCUCCCGGGUUGACGCCAUUCUCCUGCCUCAGCUUCCUGAGUAGCUGGGACUACAGGCUCCUGCCACCACCCGUGGCUAAUUUUUUUGUAUUUUUAGUAGAGACAGGGUUUCACCAUGUUAGCCAGGAUGGUCUCGAUCUCCUGACCUCGUGAUCUGCCCGCCCCAGCCUCCCAAAGUAUCAGAUGAUUUUAACAACUAUGCUUCCAUGACUUGCUGGGCUAGAUGAUAUGACUGUAAAAUGCCUAACCCAUGGUUUAGCAUCAAGUAAGCAAAUUGUAAAUGGUAGCACUGCUCUGCCUAUGACUAUUUAGUCUUGUGCUUUAAACUCAAAUAUUUGUUGGCCUACUGAAGUCACCACACAGAGAAAGAUGCUUUUCAUUCUCAGUAAAGAACUUUGGGAGAUAACUGGGGCAGGCAGCAAGAGAACAGAUGUCAUAUGUCUAGCAUCAGCAAACUCAUCAGAACUGAUGGGCAGCUCACUUUGCUUAGAACCUGCACCAGCAUACACACGGGGCUGCUUCCCAGUCACACUGCUCCUGGGAAGGUAGGGGGGCUGCUGUUCUGCAAUUAGCGCGGUUCUUUACCUCCUAUUACCGAACUGCCAGAGUUCAUUUGUGUUCAGUUAGGUAGAUGACCAAUUCUUGUUCAUUCCUAUUUUCUUUUGCUCACUAAUGUGUUUAACGUUCACUAACCUACCAAAUGUGAUUUAUUAGCGACUUUUUCUUUGAAGAUGGAGUGGAGGAAUCCUAGCGCUUUCUGCAACAUGCUACUGCUGUUAUGGAACAGUGCAGAUAUGGAAGUGCAUCAGCCGGGGAUGGGGAGAGGCUAGGGCAGUACAUGUGAAUGGAGAGGUAGCCCCACCAGUGUGUUUUCUGAAAUACAGUCCCGCAGAGGGCAGUCUUGGGAAAUUACUGUUCUCACACACUCUUCUUGACCCUACCCCUCCAGCACCUCCCUUGCUAUCCAAGGGUUGGGAUUUUUAAAAAGAAAAACAAAUUUUAAAAAAAGCAGUGUGAAUCUUUUGCCAUCUUGUAAGGGUGAAAAGCCCCCUACCAAGUCGGGAUGAACAUUCAUGCGUGUGCUUGAGGGCUUGGGAAAAAGACAGGGCUUGGCCCCACAGUGCAGGUAGGCCCAGUGAUCCUAUAAUAGGGGCCAGGAGAUGGGAGGUCCCCUGUGGGCAGGAGUUCAAGUAUGUGGUAUUAUAUGACUGGUGCUUGAUGAACCCAGGGAGAGGGCACCAAAAACAAUGGUAUUUAAUUGUAAAAUCUCCACCCCCUGAGGAUAUGUUUUCAGGUCUGGGUGACUAAUUAGACUGGGAAACAAGGGCAGGAACGAUGGCCCUGUGCUUGCUCUGCCCGCUGCCUCUGUGGAUGUGUGGGCUGCUGGCUUCAGUCCUGCUUUUCUUUCUGAUGGUAUUGUUUAUGCUAUGUGUUUUUGCAGGAGGCCUGAGGUGGGCUGGGUUCUCCUCCUAUGGCAGGGCUUCACUCUCCUCCUCCUUCUCUGUUGGGGCUUCACUGUCCCUGGGAUAAGAAUAACAAUGCCAAGGUUUUCAUUCUUGAAAGGAGCAAUUAAGCGUCUCACCCCCUCCUCAUUUUAGAUGGGAACUGUGAGGGUCCCGUCAUUUACCCAGGGUCCCUGUUGAGGAUCUUGUCCUCAUUAGAUGACUUCUUGUGCAGCUUCCAUGCGUGAUUCUUUACUCUUGUGGCACUGAGAGGUUUGUACAUGUCUUUAAGCCAGAGCGGCUUUCUGAAUGAAAAAAGUCCAUCCUAGAAGAUAGAAAGGGAAAUAUUAAUUUUGCAUGUCCUCUGCUUUCCCUGGUCACAGCAAUGAAUCCUCCAAUGUACCUGACUCUCCCUUUGCGAAGAGCAUCUCCGUGGCAGAAAUCUGAAAAUGCCCCUGGGGAGACACAUGCACAAGACAGUUCGUGAGCCACACAUCUCCCCACACCAAGCUCCUCCAUACAAGACCUCGGACUGCAUCACGUAAAUGCUUUUUCAGGGGCAAAAUCUAGAGAAUCUGAAACGAGCUAUCAGCUUCCCAGUUUGCACAAUUCAUCAAGAAAUUAUGCGGGGUCACUGGCACAAAUGAUGAGGCAUCUCCUGGAAGCUUAACUUCUUAUCCAUCCCAUCUCUUGGACAGAUGAUGCCAGUUAAUUACUUUGAAUAGAAGACUCACUGGUGGCACCUGCAGCUGCGGCGUUUUCCCCAAGGGGUCUGUCACACGCAGCCCAACUCAACUGGAGUCCUGAGAAGGUGAACAGACCAGGAUGGAUGGCCAGGGAACUCACCAGAAGUCCCCAGGCAUCAGAACAAGGUCGAAGCAUCCUGAUUAGGGUACCAGAGGCCCAGGCAGUACUUUUGGGGUAGACGAGGUACAGACCUUUGGCUCCUCACUGUCUUCAAGCCCACAAGAAGCAUAGAGCAGAAGAAGACAGAGGAGGGCCCAUCUGGCCCACUACCUGUUCUUGUAAAUAAAGCUUUAUUGAAGCCAGGUGCUCACCUUCUAGCACAUUCUUCAAGAGUUACUCUGAGGCAAGCCAGCCGCCAUGUCAUGAGGACACUCAAGCAGCACCAUGGAGAGGUCCGAUGGCGAGGAACAGAGGAUCCCCCUGCCGACAGCCAAUGAGGAACAGGCCUCCUGCCAACAGCCGUGACAAACCGGAGAAAGCCAAAUAUGCUCCCCUAACCAAUUACUUAGGAUGCCCCUCUUCUAAUGAGCCCAACUGUAGCUUUCCUGCACCACCAACAGGACGUACCUGAAGCCUUCUCCUUUUUCCGCUAUAAAGCCUUCCCCUCGGCCUGCCUUUGAGUCUCCAUGAAAAGCAAGUGACAGUGGCUGCCUCCCUUACUGUAACAAGCUCUGAAUAAACAGCCUUUGCUUGCUCUCA
rnacentral:lncRNA from 1 species